rnacentral:rRNA from 1 species
GUCAGUGUCUUUAACCGCAAGGGUCCACCCGUUCCCAUUCCGAACACGGAAGUUAAGCUUGUGUGCGCUGAAAAUUCUCGGCUGGAGACGGCCCGGGAAGAUAAGUCGACGCUGACA